GACGAACGCUGGCGGCGUGCUUAACACAUGCAAGUCGAACGGAAAGGCCCCUUCGGGGGUCCUCGAGUGGCGAACAGGUGAGUAACACGUGAGUAACCUGCCCUUGACUUCGGGAUAACUUCAGGAAACUGGGGCUAAUACCGGAUAGGAAUCCUUGCUGCAUGGUGGGGGUUGGAAAGCUUCGGCGGUUUUGGAUGGACUCGCGGCUUAUCAGCUUGUUGGUGGGGUAGUGGCUUACCAAGGCUUUGACGGGUAGCCGGCCUGAGAGGGCGACCGGCCACCUUGGGACUGAGAUACGGCCCAGACUCCUACGGGAGGCAGCAGUGGGGAAUAUUGCACAAUGGGCGGAAGCCUGAUGCAGCAACGCCGCGUGCGGGAUGACGGCCUUCGGGUUGUAAACCGCUUUCAGCAGGGGCGAAGCUUGUGGUGACGGUACCUGCAGAAGAAGCACCGGCUAACUACGUG
rnacentral:rRNA from 1 species